rnacentral:lncRNA from 1 species
AAAAGGUCAAUGUCUCUUAUGAAUUUUCAUUUGGUUCUAUAAACAUGUCUUGUUAAGGGUGCAGCUGUUGGUAUAACAAUAGCAGGAAUACUUGGACUUGUAUUAGUAUUUUGUUCUCUGUAUAUAUGUCAGAUACUUCCAAAAGAAGGAAGAAGAGAAAACUAAACUUCCCAAAACUUCUAUGUGAAUUUGAAACUAUUAUCCUGCUUAUUUUAUUUUUGUCACAGUUGAUAAAAAUACUAAUGGUCAAACAGGAGCCAAAUUCAUCGUGGUAGACAAAUCACCCGAGUUUUCGUACAAAGAACUAGCCAAUGCUACUGAUAACUUCAGUUUGGCUAACAAUUGCAAUAGAAAAGUAAGUUGUGUUCAAUUACACAGAAAACUGCAAUAGAAAAGAUGAAGAUCCAAGCAACAAGAGAAUUUCUUGAUGAACUCAAAGUCUUAAACACGUGUUCAUCACUAGAACCUGGUAAAUUUUCAAGCAUAAAACAAGUUUUGUUCUAUCUUUUACUUUAUAUAAGUGAUUGUUGCUUUAUAAACUUGAAUAAUCUUGUAAUCUAUAUCUAUCUAUCUAUCUAUUAAACAAGUGUUCAUCACUAGAACCUGGUAAAUUUUCAAGCAUAAAACAAGUUUUG